AUUGAACGCUGGCGGCAGGCCUAACACAUGCAAGUCGGGCGCGCGGCGGACGGGUGAGUAAUGUAUGGGGAUCUGCCUGAUGGGGGGGGAUCACUACUGGAAACGGUAUCUAAUACCGCAUCACAUCAGGUGACCCCAUAGGGGAUUAGCUAGUAGGUGAGGUAAAGGCUUACCUAGGCGACGAUCCCUAGCUGGUCUGAGAGGAGGAACAGCCACACUGGGACUGAGACACGGCCCAGACUCCUACGGGAGGCAGCAGUGGGGAAUAUUGCACAAUGGGCGCAAGCCUGAUGCAGCCAUGCCGCGUGUAUGAAGAAGGCCUUCGGGUUGUAAAGUACUUUCAGUCGGGAGGCGUUACCGACAGAAGAAGCACCGGCUAACUCCGUGCCAGCAGCCGCGGUAAUAC
rnacentral:rRNA from 1 species